UUUCAGAACUGAUCAUCUACUAAAGACUCCCAGAAUGGAUUCUCACUUUUCUCCUGUGUCCUGAGCUUGGCAAUAUUUUGAAGGACCUCAGGAUACAUUUCACUGAACAUAGCUCCUGCCACUGCCAGAUGUUUAGGUCUGCCAGAAGACAGCACAAACACUCUCUUCUAUGGGCUUCAGGAAUAUUUUCCAUGAUUCUGACAGCAGAGACUCUCCUAUGAGAGGAGCAGCAGAAAGACACCUAAUCCCUGGAGGCUGACUUCUGUAACUUCAAAAUCAAAAUCAUGCACUUGAUGCUGGUAUAAAUGAAAGCAAAGACCCCCCAUAUUGUAUGUGAAAUCUCUAAUACCAUGGCUCUAGUGUAAUGCCUUAAACAAUCAAGCUAAAUAUGUCAGGGGACUUUUUAAUACGCUGCACUGAUGAAGCAAGAGUAUUAAAUUUAUUCAACCAUGAAGAAGACUUUGAUUAUCAUACACCUCAGCUGCGCUGGCAUGGUGGACAACUGUGAGGAAGCAGGCUGAACGUCACAUCCUGAAGACCUGAGUAAGACUGUUACACAUCUACA
rnacentral:lncRNA from 1 species